UACGAAGGGGGCUAGCGUUGCUCGGAAUCACUGGGCGUAAAGGGUGCGUAGGCGGGUCUUUAAGUCAGGGGUGAAAUCCUGGAGCUCAACUCCAGAACUGCCUUUGAUACUGAAGAUCUUGAGUUCGGGAGAGGUGAGUGGAACUGCGAGUGUAGAGGUGAAAUUCGUAGAUAUUCGCAAGAACACCAGUGGCGAAGGCGGCUCACUGGCCCGGUACUGACGCUGAGGUGCGAAGGCCAGGGAGCAAAGCGGG
rnacentral:rRNA from 1 species